UUUCUAUGAUGAAUAGAACUAGCUCACUAUGACUGAAGAUGAAAAUACGUGAACACCUGAGAAAC
ensembl:snoRNA SNORD29 Small nucleolar RNA SNORD29